UACGGAGGGUGCAAGCGUUGUCCGGAAUCACUGGGCGUAAAGGGCGCGUAGGCGGCCUGGUAAGUAGGGGGUGAAAUCCUGCGGCUUAACCGCAGGGCUGCCUUCUAAACUGUCAGGCUUGAGCACGGUAGAGGCAGAUGGAAUUCCCGGUGUAGCGGUGGAAUGCGUAGAUAUGCGGAGGAACACCGAUGGCGAAGGCAAUCCCCUGGGCCUGUACUGACGCUCAUGCACGAAAGCGUGGGGAGCAAACAGG
rnacentral:rRNA from 1 species